GACGAACGCUGGCGGCGUGCUUAACACAUGCAAGUCGUACGGUAAGGCCCUUUCGGGGGUCCACGAGUGGCGAACGGGUGAGUAACACGUGAGUAACCUGCCCACAACUUUGGGAUAACGCUAGGAAACUGGUGCUAAUACUGGAUAUGUUCUCCUGCUGCAUGGUGGGGGUUGGAAAGCUCCGGCGGUUGUGGAUGGACUCGCGGCCUAUCAGCUUGUUGGUGGGGUAGUGGCCUACCAAGGCGGCGACGGGUAGCCGGCCUGAGAGGGUGACCGGCCACAUUGGGACUGAGAUACGGCCCAGACUCCUACGGGAGGCAGCAGUGGGGAAUAUUGAACAAUGGGCGCAAGCCUGAUGCAGCAACGCCGCGUGCGGGAUGACGGCCUUCGGGUUGUAAACCGCUUUCAGCAGGGACGAAGCUUUUUGUGACGGUACCUGCAGAAGAAGCACCGGCUAACUACGUG
rnacentral:rRNA from 1 species